GCACCAAGAAAAUGGGCGCAUCUUGCCAAGCACUUUCUUGAGGCACGGAGAGGUUUUACAUGACUAGACCAUUCCAAUCGCCAGGCCAUAAGAGCCCUGAUUAUCAACAGAAUCCUAGAAGACCACACCCCAAGUGUCCCCUUUCCGGCCCCUGAUCAUGCUGAACACACACUGCCCCCGCCCAUGACCUCGGGCUCCCUGCCUGUUCUGCACGUGCCCCACCUCUCCAAACCUCUCUAUAAAACCCUGGGUGCCCGUCUUACGGGUGGAGGCCUGAGCCCGCCAGCUGCUGCUGGCACUUGAGAUAAACGUCUGGAGUUA